GGCUGCGUAGUACAAUGGAUAGUACGUGGGUCUCCGGAACCCAAGAUUCAGGUUCGAUUCCUGACGCAGCCA
rnacentral:tRNA from 2 species